rnacentral:rRNA from 1 species
AUACGUAGGGUGCAAGCGUUAAUCGGAAUUACUGGGCGUAAAGCGUGCGCAGGCGGUUUUGUAAGACAGUGGUGAAAUCCCCGGGCUCAACCUGGGAACUGCCAUUGUGACUGCAAGGCUGGAGUGCGGCAGAGGGGGAUGGAAUUCCGCGGGUAGCAGUGAAAUGCGUAGAUAUGCGGAGGAACACCGAUGGCGAAGGCAAUCCCCUGGGCCUGUACUGACGCUCAUGCACGAAAGCGUGGGGAGCAAACAGGAUUAGAUACCCUGGUAGUCCACGCCCUAAACGAUGUCAACUGGUUGUUGGGUCUUCAUUGACUCAGUAACGAAGCUAACGCGUGAAGUUGACCGCCUGGGGAGUACGGCCGCAAGGUUGAAACUCAAAUGAAUUGGCGGGG